rnacentral:misc_RNA from 1 species
AAGUCGUAACAAGGUUUCCGUAGGUGAACCUGCGGAAGGAUCAUUAAUGAAUUGAAAGGGAGUUGAUGCUGGCUAGGUCUCCUGGCAUGUGCUCGCUCCCGACAAUCUUAUCCAUACACCUGUGCACAAUGUGAGGGCGUGAAAGCGCCCUUAUUUUAACAUACACCUUAUAUAGUAAUCGCACGUGAUCUGCGUCUUCUGGCGCUUAAAUGAAAAUACAACUUUUAACAACGGAUCUCUUGGCUCUC